CCUACGGGGGGCAGCAGUGGGGAAUAUUGGGCAAUGGGCGCAAGCCUGACCCAGCAACGCCGCGUGAAGGAAGAAGGCUUUCGGGUUGUAAACUUCUUUUAUGAGGGACGAAACAAAUGACGGUACCUCAUGAAUAAGCCACGGCUAACUACGUGCCAGCAGCCGCGGUAAUACGUAGGUGGCAAGCGUUAUCCGGAUUUACUGGGUGUAAAGGGCGUGUAGGCGGGACUGCAAGUCAGAUGUGAAAAUUAUGGGCUCAACCCAUAACCUGCAUUUGAAACUGUAGUUCUUGAGUGAUGGAGAGGCAGGCGGAAUUCCGUGUGUAGCGGUGAAAUGCGUAGAUAUACGGAGGAACACCAGUGGCGAAGGCGGCCUGCUGGACAUUAACUGACGCUGAGGCGCGAAAGCGUGGGGAGCAAACAGGAUUAGAUA
rnacentral:rRNA from 1 species